UUCUACAGGCAUACCACCCUGAACGUGCCCAGUCUCCUCUGAUCUAGGAAGCUGCACAGGGUGGAUGGGAGAUACCAGACUUAGGAAUUAAACAGAUCUGGGAGAAG
rnacentral:rRNA from 1 species